UACGUAGGUGGCAAGCGUUGUCAGGAUUUAUUGGGUUUAAAGGGUGCGUAGGCGGUCUAUUAAGUCAGUGGUGAAAUACUCCAGCUUAACUGGAGGGGUGCCAUUGAUACUGAUGGACUUGAGUCAAGUCGAGGUAGGCGGAAUUGACGGUGUAGCGGUGAAAUGCUUAGAUAUCGUCAAGAACACCAAUAGUGAAGACAGCUUACUGGGCUUAAACUGACGCUGAGGCACGAAAGUGUGGGGAUCAAACAGG
rnacentral:rRNA from 1 species